GUCCUUGUAGCGCAAUGGACAGCACGUUGGACAUCUAAUUCAAAGUUCCUGGGUUCGAAUCCCACCUAGGAUA